rnacentral:rRNA from 1 species
GACGUAGGGUGCGAGCGUUGUCCGGAUUUAUUGGGCGUAAAGAGCUCGUAGGCGGCUCGUCGCGUCAGCUGUGAAAACCUGCAGCUUAACUGUGGGCGUGCGGUCGAUACGGGCAUCACUGGAGUUCGGCAGGGGAGACUGGAAUUCCUGGUGUAGCGGUGAAAUGCGCAGAUAUCAGGAGGAACACCGGUGGCGAAGGCGGGUCUCUGGGCCGAUACUGACGCUGAGGAGCGAAAGCGUGGGGAGCAAACAGG